AGAGUUUGAUCCUGGCUCNNNNUGAACGCUGGCGGCAUGCCUUACACAUGCAAGUCGAACGGCAGCACGGGAGCAAUCCUGGUGGCGAGUGGCGAACGGGUGAGUAAUAUAUCGGAACGUGCCCAGUCGUGGGGGAUAACGUAGAGAAAUUUACGCUAAUACCGCAUACGAUCUAAGGAUGAAAGCGGGGGAUCGCAAGACCUCGCGCGAUUGGAGCGGCUGAUAUCAGAUUAGGUUGUUGGUGAGGUAAAAGCUCACCAAGCCGACGAUCUGUAGCUGGUUUGAGAGAACGACCAGCCACACUGGGACUGAGACACGGCCCAGACUCCUACGGGAGGCAGCAGUGGGAAUUUUGGACAAUGGGCGAAAGCCUGAUCCAGCAAUGCCGCGUGCAGGAAGAAGGCCUUCGGGUUGUAAACUGCUUUUGUACGGAACGAAAAGGUCUGCCCUAAUACGGCGGGCCCAUGACGGUACCGUAAGAAUAAGCACCGGCUAACUACGUGCCAGCCGCCGCGGUAAUAC
rnacentral:rRNA from 1 species